rnacentral:rRNA from 1 species
UACGUAGGUGGCGAGCGUUGUCCGGAUUUACUGGGCGUAAAGAGCGCGCAGGCGGUCGUACAAGUCGCGUGUGAAAGCCCCUGGCUCAACUGGGGAGGGUCACGCGAUACUGUUCGACUUGAAGGCAGGAGAGGGAAGUGGAAUUCCCGGUGUAGUGGUGAAAUGCGUAGAUAUCAGGAGGAACACCGGUGGUGUAGACGGCUUACUGGACCACGACUGACACUGAGGCACGAAAGCGUGGGUAGCAAACAGG